rnacentral:rRNA from 1 species
UAGAGUUUGAUCCUGGCUCAGGAUGAACGCUGGCGGUCUGCUUAACACACGCAAGUCGAACGCAACCUUCGGGUUGAGUGGCGGACGGGUGAGUAACGCGUGAGAAUCUGCCUUGGGGUCGGGGACAACCACUGGAAACGGUGGCUAAUACCGGAUAGGCCUUUGGGUAAAAGAUUUAUUGCCCCAAGAGGAGCUCGCGUCUGAUUAGCUAGUUGGUGAGGUAAAAGCUCACCAAGGCAGCGAUCAGUAGCUGGUCUGAGAGGACGAUCAGCCACACUGGGACUGAGACACGGCCCAGACUCCUACGGGAGGCAGCAGUGGGGAAUUUUCCGCAAUGGGCGAAAGCCUGACGGAGCAAGACCGCGUGAGGGAGGAAGGCUCUUGGGUUGUAAACCUCUUUUCUCAGGGAAGAAGCUCUGACGGUACCUGAGGAAUCAGCCUCGGCUAACUCCGUGCCAGCAGCCGCGGUAAUACGGAGGAGGCAAGCGUUAUCCGGAAUUAUUGGGCGUAAAGCGUCCGCAGGUGGCGAUUCAAGUCUGCUGUCAAAGCACGGGGCUUAACUCCGUUAAGGCAGUGGAAACUGAAUAGCUAGAGUGCUCGUAGGGGUAGAGGGAAUUUCUCGGUGUAGCGGUGAAAUGCGUAGAGAUCGGGGAAGAACAUCGGUGGCGAAAGCGCUCUACUGGACGGCACUGACACUCAGGACGAAAGCUAGGGGAGCGA